rnacentral:rRNA from 1 species
GGUGGUGCAUGGUUGUCGUCAGCUCGUGUCGUGAGAUGUUGAGUUAAGUCCCGCAACGAGCGCAACCCUCGUUCUAUGUUGCCAGCACGUAAUGGUGGGAACUCAUGGGGAUACUGCCAGGAGUCAACUCGGAGGAAGGUAGGGGAUGACGUCAAAUCAUCAUGCCCCUUAUGUCUUGAGCUUCACGCAUGCUACAAUGGCCGGUACAAAGGGGCUGCAAUACCGUAAGGUAGGAGCGACUCCCAAAAAGCCACUCCCAGUUCGAAUUAAACUCUGCAACUCGACCUCAUGAAGCUCGAAGUCGCUAGUACUCGCAGCUCAGCAACGCUGCGGUGAAUACGUUCCCGACUCUUGUACACACCGCCCGUCAAGUCAUGAAAGUCGGUAACACCUGAAGCCGAUGGCCCAACCCUUGUGGAGGGAGCCCUCGAAAGUGGAUUGUCUUGGACU